AUCAAACCCAGUGCCUCACAUGUGCAAGGCAAGUGCUCUACCACUGAGCUACAACCGCAGCUCUGUCAAUUUUAUAUUGGAAGGAAAAACCCUGUAAACAAACGUUGACCGCGAGCUAACACUAAGCAUGCGAGCUCCUCCUGCCCCACAGCCCCAGCCCUUGACCGCUGGCCUCCACUGGACUGGGCGUCGUGUGCCAGCUGGCACUCAAUUAAACAAGGAGGAAGCUGGCUGACCUGGGCACCAGGCUCUGUGCAGAAGGGAAGCCGAGCUUCUAGGGGCCCCCACAUUCCUGGCUCCUGGUUCCGUCCUCUACCUUACAGUCAGCAGCACAAGAGCUCCAUGACUCUCUGAAUCUGUCUUCAUUGUCAUGUCUCCUCUGAAGUGGACCUUGCUGCCACCCUCCAGAGAUGCUGCGAUGACCCUGGGCCGCCUGGCUAUUCUUGGGUAAGCCCCCUCAGACCCCCCUCU